rnacentral:rRNA from 1 species
AUUGAACGCUGGCGGAAUGCUUUACACAUGCAAGUCGAACGGCAGCACGGGGGCAACCCUGGUGGCGAGUGGCGAACGGGUGAGUAAUACAUCGGAACGUGCCCAGUCGUGGGGGAUAACGUAGCGAAAGCUACGCUAAUACCGCAUACGAUCUACGGAUGAAAGCGGGGGAUCGCAAGACCUCGCGCGAUUGGAGCGGCCGAUGGCAGAUUAGGUAGUUGGUGGGGUAAAGGCUCACCAAGCCGACGAUCUGUAGCUGGUCUGAGAGGACGACCAGCCACACUGGGACUGAGACACGGCCCAGACUCCUACGGGAGGCAGCAGUGGGGAAUUUUGGACAAUGGGCGCAAGCCUGAUCCAGCCAUUCCGCGUGCAGGAUGAAGGCCUUCGGGUUGUAAACUGCUUUUGUACGGAACGAAACGGCCUUUUCUAAUACAAGAGGCUAAUGACGGUACCGUAAGAAUAAGCACCGGCUAACUACGUGCCAGCAGCCGCGGUAACAC